UACGAAGGGGGGCUAGCGUUGCUCGGAAUCACUGGGCGUAAAGCGCACGUAGGCGGCUUUCUAAAGUCAGGGGUGAAAUCCUGGAGCUCAACUCCAGAACUGCCUUUGAUACUGGAGAGCUCGAGUCCGGAAGGGGUGAGUGGAACUCCGAGUGUAGAGGUGAAAUUCGUAGAUAUUCGGAAGAACACCAGUGGCGAAGGCGGCUCACUGGUCCGGUACUGACGACUGAGGCGGCGAAAGCGUGGGGAGCCAACAGG
rnacentral:rRNA from 1 species